AUUGAACGCUGGCGGCAUGCUUUACACAUGCAAGUCGAACGGUAACAGGCCGCAAGGUGCUGACGAGUGGCGAACGGGUGAGUAAUGCAUCGGAACGUGCCCAGUCGUGGGGGAUAACGCAGCGAAAGCUGCGCUAAUACCGCAUACGAUCUAUGGAUGAAAGCGGGGGACCGUAAGGCCUCGCGCGAUUGGAGCGGCCGAUGUCAGAUCAGGUAGUUGGUGGGGUAAAGGCUCACCAAGCCAACUAUCUGUAGCUGGUCUGAGAGGACGACCAGCCACACUGGGACUGAGACACGGCCCAGACUCCUAGGUGAGGCAGCAGUGGGGAAUUUUGGACAAUGGGCGCAAGCCUGAUCCAGCAAUGCCGCGUGCAGGAAGAAGGCCUUCGGGUUGUAAACUGCUUUUGUACGGAACGAAACGGUCCUGGUUAAUACCCGGGGCUAAUGACGGUACCGUAAGAAUAAGCACCGGCUAACUACGUGCCAGCCGCCGCCGUAAAAC
rnacentral:rRNA from 1 species